CACGUAGGGCGCGAGCGUUGUCCGGAAUUAUUGGGCGUAAAGAGCUCGUAGGCGGCCUGUUGCGUCCGCUGUGAAAGCCCGGGGCUUAACCCCGGGUCGGCAGUGGAUACGGGCAGGCUAGAGGUAGGUAGGGGAGAAUGGAAUUCCCGGUGUAGCGGUGAAAUGCGCAGAUAUCGGGAGGAACACCGGUGGCGAAGGCGGUUCUCUGGGCCUGUACUGACGCUGAGGAGCGAAAGCGUGGGGAGCAAACAGG
rnacentral:rRNA from 1 species